AUUGAACGCUGGCGGCAUGCCUUACACAUGCAAGUCGAACGGCAGCACGGGAGCAAUCCUGGUGGCGAGUGGCGAACGGGUGAGUAAAGUAUCGGAACGUGCCCAGUCGUGGGGGAUAACGUAGCGAAAGUUACGCUAAUACCGCAUACGAUCUAUGGAUGAAAGCGGGGGAUCGCAAGACCUCGCGCGAUUGGAGCGGCCGAUAUCAGAUUAGGUAGUUGGGGGGGUAAAGGCCCACCAAGCCGACGAUCUGUAGCUGGUCUGAGAGGACGACAAGCCACACUGGGACUGAGACACGGCCCAGACUCCGACGGGAGGCAGCAGUGGGGAAUUUUGGACAAUGGGCGAAAGCCUGAUCCAGCCAUGCCGCGUGCAGGAUGAAGGCCUUCGGGUUGUAAACUGCUUUUGUACGGAACGAAAAGGACUGCCCUAAUACGGUGGUCCCAUGACGGUACCGUAAGAAUAAGCACCGGCUAACUACGUGCCAGCCGCCGCGGUAA
rnacentral:rRNA from 1 species